rnacentral:rRNA from 1 species
AACGAACGCUGGCGGCAGGACUAACACAUGCAAGUCGAGCGAAGCCUUCGGGCUUAGCGGCGGACGGGUGAGUAACGCGUGGGAACGUGCCCUUUGGUACGGAAUAGCCCCGGGAAACUGGGAGUAAUAACGUAUGUGGUCGAGAGACGAAAGAUUUAUCGCCAAAGGAUCGGCCCGCGUUGGAUCAGGUAGUUGGUUGGGUAAUGGCCUACCAAGCCGACGAUCCAUAGCUGGUUUGAGGCGAUGAUCAGCCACACUGGGACUGAGACACGGCCCAGUCUCCUGCGGGAGGCAGCAGUGGGCAAUUUUAGCAAAGGGGGUAGACCCUGAUCUAGCCAUGCCGCGGGAUCGAUGAACGCCUUAGGGUUAUAAAGAUCUUUCAGUGGGGAAGAUAAUGACGGUACCCACAGAACAAGCCCCGGUUAACUCCGUGCCAGCCGCCGCCGUAACAC